rnacentral:rRNA from 1 species
UACAGAGGUCUCAAGCGUUGUUCGGAUUCAUUGGGCGUAAAGGGUGCGUAGGUGGCGAGGUUAGUCAGGUGUGAAAUCUCGGGGCUCAACCCCGAAACUGCACUUGAUACUGCCUAGCUAGAGUACUGGAGAGGAGAUUGGAAUUUACGGUGUAGCAGUGAAAUGCGUAGAUAUCGUAAGGAAGACCAGUGGCGAAGGCGAAUCUCUGGACAGUUACUGACACUGAGGCACGAAGGCCAGGGGAGCAAACGGG